rnacentral:lncRNA from 1 species
AAACACAUCAGGAUCCUGCCAUUGUCUCAACUGCUCUUUGAAUCAGGGGCUCUUAAACAGAGGAUAUGCCAUUCUUCUUUUGUUCCACAACCCCAUAAGGCUUAAAGAAAAGGAAGGCAAAAAAAACCCCCAACAAGUAAAACCCAAACUUAAGAUGUGCUGUCAGCUUUACACCAACAGCCAGAGGUGGAAGGGAUGGUUAGCCAAGAUUAGAGUCCUAAGCUUUGUGAUUUCUCCCUGUGAGUUAUGGCUGCAUGUCAGUAGCUGUAAGUGAAGCAAAAUGCAGUAGCUAGGCUAGUGUUCUGUUCAAUUGCCUGGGGCCCCAGCUGAAAUUUAAUAAGCAAAUGUAAGAUUUUAGUGCUUUGGAAUGGAAAGUUUAUGGUAAGUUCUUUCAGCAGCCCCUGUGUAAGUGAUGUAUCACAUGCAUGGCUUGUGCAGGGCACCUUGGAUGAAUGCAGCUCUGCUGUUGUGCUGUUCCUCUCCCAGGCUGCAGCCAGGUAAAUCUUCAGGUCACAGAGCAAGCUGGAACUGAAGACAGUUAUGGCUGGGAUAUCUUCCCUGCAGCUCCAUUCACAUGUAUUAGGAGAAUCCUACUGGCUGUGGCAGCAGGAGCAUGGCAAGGUGUGCAACAGCCUCCACUGUGAGACCCUGGACUGGAAUCUGGAUGUGAAUUUGUCUCUCCUGCUGGAACCAGGCUCCCUCUGUGCCUACUGCUGUGGAAUGGGAUGUCACAUUUAG